CUCGGAUUCAGACAUUGGACUGUUAUUCAAAACCAAAAAGAAACGAGCUCUCAGUCAUGAUGAAGUCAGGAGGAAGAGAUAAGGCUGUGUAGAUAGGGAAAUGGGCCCUUGGUGACUUCCUAAGCAACAUAGCACAAACAGGCAGCUGGAGGUUUUUUGCUGAGAAACUUGCAAAAAGAUUAUUUUUAAAUUGGGGCAAUUUGGAGUCCAUGGCCUCUCCAAAGAAGGAAAAACCUGAUCAAUAUUUUGAUUGGUCUAGAGACUGCAUGACCACCUUGUAGACACCGAGUGCCUUACCCAGAAUUGGUGGGGGCUGACUUCCUUCACCCUGGAGAUCCACGGGAACCUCUAGACAAUAGCCAUCCCUGGUGCAUUAGUCAGUUCUUUCACUGCUGUGACUAACGGACCCAACCAGAGGAGGAAAGUUUAUUCAGGGGCUCAUGGUUUCAGAGGUCUCAGUCUCUAGACAGCAGGCUCCAUUCCUCAGGGCUGGAGGUGAGGCAGGACAUCAUGGUGGAAGAGUGCAGCUCUAUGGUGAUCAGAAAGCAGAGAGACUCCCCUCGAAUGAUACAAAUAUAUGCCCCAAAGCCACGGCCCCAGUUCCCACCUACUCCAGCCACACCCCACCUGCCUCCAGUCACCACUCAGUUACUCCCAUCAGGGGUUAAUUCACUGAUUGGGUCAAGGCUCUCGCAACCUAAUCAUUUCUCCUCUGAAUUCUCUCACAUUGUCUCACACGUGAGCUUUUGGGGGACACCACAGCUAAACCCUAACAAUCAAACCUAGCGAUGAGGGCUUUGCUUCAUUUUGCUUUAAUAAGCCCUUACACUUCACUUUCACCCACUGUCGUGGGUGAAUCUCAUUCUUUGAAUUCAUGAGGCAAAACCCCCACCUGCCUCCACACUGUGUAUUACCAUGAAAGACAGAGAAACCUUAGGUGGAUUUCUGUAAGUGAAAAAAUCCAAACUGAAAGACAGCAUGCUGUUUGCUUCCAACCACAUGGAAAAGGCAGAAUUAUGGACGCAGUGAAAAGAUCAGGGGCUACUGGGGAUGAGAGGAGCGAGGGAUGAACAGGCAGAGCAUGGAGGGGACUUCAGGCCAGUGCCAUCAUUCUGUGUGAUAUUGCAAGGGCAGAUGCGUGGCGUACGUCUGUGAAAACCCACGGACCUCCGCAGCCAGCCCUGAUGUAAACUAGGACUCUGGGUGAUAACGAUGUCCCAUGCGGGUUCAUCCUCUGUAAAAACUGUGCACCGCGAUGGGCGAUGGGCAUGUGGAUGGUGGGGGAGGCUGUGUGCGGGCAGGGAGCUUAUGGGGACUCUCUGUACUCUCUGCUUAAUUUUGCUGUGAAUCUAAAACUGCUGUACAACAUAAAGUCUAUUAUUUUUUUAAGGGGAUUUUUACUUCAAAGAGUGUUGGGAAGCUCCCCUCGCUGGGCUCUGGGCCAUGCUGGUCUCUUGCUGUCCAAGUUCCUCCUUGCAUCAAGCCAUUGUCACUCUGUCCUGAGGGCUUGCCUUUCCUCUCCCCCUCUGCCUGGUGAACUCCUGCCCAUCCUUUGGCUCAGCUCAGGUGUCUGGUCCAUGGUGAGGUUUUCCUUAAAGCAUCCUGUUCAGGGCACGGCUUUGCCUCUGAAGCCUUUUCAUCAGUGUGCUUUAGAGCAGCCUCUUUGAUAGAUAUGACUGUGCUUUGAAGUCUAUUCUUGUUCAUUAUCUAUGAUUUAUGCACCUUUUCCCCAGCUGAAUCUUUCAUUUGAAGGGCAAUGGCCUGGAAGGAGACGAGGAGGUCUGUGUGCAUGAAGCUAGGCAAGGGUGAAGUUUCCCAAGCUCUGAAGCCCAGGCUCUCCUACCUCAUCUGACCCUUUUA
rnacentral:lncRNA from 1 species